UAUUCUCGAGUCUUUAGGUAUAGUAACUAGUGAAGCGUUAGUAUGUGAUUCCAGUCUGUAAUGAGGGAUCCCUAUUGCUCAUCUACAGCUGGAUGUAAACGGACGGACCAGGAAGAAGGUUGCAUAGAUUCCAAUGCCUUGGAAUUUUUCUCGAUUGGAUGUAAGAAAAUAUUCCAGCUAUGCUGCUCUUCCUCUCUUUUCUCUAGAUCUGGACACAAAGCAAACUUGCUGGAUUAUCAAGCUUUGAAGAUAAUUUGGUUUUGGCUGCUAUUCAAUUCCAAGACAACAAUUUAAGGAACUUGAACAUCUGCAGAUUUUGGUAUCACAGGAGGUCCUGGAAUCAAUCCUCUGCGGACAUGAGGGACAACUGUACAAUGAAAACUUGAUAUGACAUAGUGUAUUAGUCCGUUUUCAAGCUGCUAAUAAAGACAUACCCAAGACUGGGCAAUAUGCAAAAGAAAGAGGUUUACUGGACUUACAGUUCCACGUGGCUGGGGAGACCUCACAAUCAUGGCAGAAGAUGAAAGGCACAUCUCACAUGGCAGCAGACAAGAGAAGAGAGCUUCUGCAGGGAAACUCCCCUUUUUAAAACCAUCAGAUCUCCUGAGACUUGUUCACUAUCACAGGAACAGCACAAGAAAGACCUGCCCCCUGAUGCAAUUACCUCCCACGGGGUUCCUCCCACAACACAUGGGAAUUCAAGAUGAGAUUUGGGUGGGGACACAGCCAAACUAUAUCACACAGGUCCUUUACAAGGUGCCACCACUAGGUACUGGUGCAUCUGAGAUUCCAACCCAGGUAGCCUCUGGAGCCUGUGCUCUUGAAGCAGGUGUGCCAAUGUUGCCACCUAAGUCCACGUUAUGCCUCUUUCAUCUGCUAUUUGUUUGUAUUGUUCUUUGCAUAUUUGUGUUUCUAUUAUCUUCUGGGAUAUGCAUAAAAUCCAAGGUCUCUACCAUGACCAGCAAAGGUCUGCAUGAUUGGGGCCGACCUGCAUCUCCGGCAUCAUCCAUCACUCUUUCACCAUGCUCACUCUUUGCCAUUCCUCAGAUAGCCCCAGCUCAUUCCUACUGCAGCAGCUUAAAGCACUCUGUCUCUUCUGCCUGGAUUGCCCUUUCCACAGAUUACUAUCACUUGCUCACUCAGUUUACUUAUGUUUCUGUCCAGCGUUACCUCCUCCUUGAUUACUCUAUAACCCCCUACCCUGUUUUAUUUUUCUUUGUAGCAUUUAUCACUCUUGAAAUUAUCUAUUUGUUUAUUCUUGUUUUUGUCAAUCUCCCCUUCCACUAGAAUGCAGACUCCAUGGAGGUGAGGAUUUUGUCUGUUAAUUGAAUCACGGGAGCAGGUCUUUCCCGUGCUGUUCUCAUGAUAGUGAACAAGUCUCAGCAGAUCUGAUGGUUUUCAAAAGGGGAGUUUCCCUGCACAAGCCCUCUGCUCUUGUCUGCUGCCAUGUGAGACGUGCCUUUCAUCUCCUGCCAUGAUUGUGAGGUUUCCCCCACUACAUGGAACUUGUGGUUACAAAACAUUUCUGAAAUUACUGCCUGCUUCACUCAUUACAUCAACCAAACCACAGGUGGGCUCAACCUAAUCACAUGAAUUCUUAAAAGUGGAUAACCUUUCCUGAGUGUGGUCUGAGGGAGAUGUGACCACAGAAGAACAGUCAGAGAAAUGCAAUGUUGCUGGCUUCGAAGAUGGAAGAUGGAGCAAGGGAACCUUUAGAAGCUGGAAAAGGCAAAGAAACAUCCUCUCCCCUAGAGCCUCCAGAAGGAGGAAUGCAGCCCUGCCAACAUAUCAAUUUUAUCCCAGUGAGAUAACUUCUGACCUCCGGAACUGUAAGAUAAUAAAUUUGUGUUGUUUUA